rnacentral:tRNA from 1 species
GGACCUUUAGCUCAGUUGGUUAGAGCGUCCGGCUCAUAACCGGGAUGUCGAUGGAUCGUACCCAUCAAGGUCCA